rnacentral:tRNA from 1 species
ACUAUUUUGGCAGAUUAGUGCGUUGAAUUUAGAAUUCACAAAUGUAAUAGAGUUUACAAAUAGUA